rnacentral:rRNA from 1 species
AAGCUCGUAGUUGAAUUUCGGGGUCAGUAGGUUGGUCGUGCCACCGGUACGUACUGGUCUCACGUGAUUCCUCCUUCCUGAUGAGCUGUAAUGCCAUUAAUUUGGUGUUGCAGGGAAUCUGGACUGUUACUUUGAAAAAAUUAGAGUGUUUAAAGCAGGCUAACGCUUGAAUACAUUAGCAUGGAAUAAUGAAAUAGGACGUUCGAUCCUAUUUUGUUGGUUUCUAGGAUUGACGUAAUGAUUAAUAGGGAUAGUUGGG